CAAGAGGACCAUCUGUGGACCAGAGAGGGGGCUCCAGACAUUGAAUCUGCUAGCACUGUGGAUUACCAGCUUCCAGAAUUAUAAGCCACCCAGUUCAUAACUUAUUAUAACAGCUCAAAUUAACCCUCAAGGAUCCAUAGAAUGAAGGAACAAUCAUGUCUCUUUGAAUGUAUUACCUCAUUUCAUUCUCUCAGCUACUCAAUAGACAUUUUCAAAGGUUUUGAUACAUAUCAUUGACCAUUGCUGGCCAGCCUGACCUGGCUCUUCAGAUUCUACUCAAGCACAUGUACGUCUAUCUCUGAGAUGCUCUAUGAUCCUUAAGCACUUUGGUCAUCUAUCUCCAGAAAGUGGCCUUGUCAAUCAACGAGUGGUAACAAAGGAGUCUCUACUCUAAGCUACUAGAGAAUUCUUAGUAUCACAGGGAUAUUCCAAAGAGGAUGUUGGCCAGCAGUGGGAAGAAUCUCACAGAGGACUGACUCUCAAAACCUCAAUGAAUAUGCAGACCACCUGUAGAGAAAGAUUCUGGUUCACCAGGUCCAUAGGGGGUUGGAAAGUCAACACCUUUCAUGUAUAUUUCUACUUCAAGUACCACAUUAACCUGGCCAGGAACUGAGGCGCAGCCUUGUCAUUCCUUAAUUUUUCUGGGAUGUGUGAAUGUUAAGAGGAGAAAACAAAGGGCUCCAGGGAAAGUGAAUAUGGGUGGCAAUGUUCUGCUUCUAGAUGAUCAAAAUAUGGGUUAUUAUAGACAGUGAAUUGCCUUCAAUUUUGCAAAGACCAAAGUUAAGCAACAAUAUAUCACCAAAAACAAAUGAUCAACUAUCAUCACACAUCCUCUCCCAUCUCUCUCUCACACACACUUACACACCCUCAAGCAACAUUCUAAGCACUGGAAAUAAAAAAAAAAAACAUGGGACCACCAGGAAAACAAAAUAUUGUUAUUCUGCUAAAGGAACAUAGCAAUAAAAUGACCCCUAAUGACAUUUUGCUCUACUCAUAGAUCAGGAUCUUGCUCAGCCAUAAUUAGAAAAGCUUCUUCAUGCAAUAAAUGGGAACUAACAUAGAAACUGGACGAUGUGCAAGGGAGCGAGAGAUUUUGCUUGGAACACUGAGUUCUAAAUUUGGGAUGUCUUCAUCAAACCUUUCCCCCAAGGGUAUAAGGAUUUAUGUGGAAGAGGAGGUGAAA